UCGAGUGUGUUGGGGAGGGAGGAGAUGAUUUGGUCUUUGACUAGCCUCUCAAAGCAUUUCAUGGGGUCGGUAGUCAUUUAGUUCAAUUACUUUCCUUUUCUUGGGCAUUUUUAUGAAAAUGUCAGAAAACACAGCAACUAGUUGGUCUGCACAUGCUCUGAGGGCGCAGCUAGCGAUGCUGCCUUGGCCGGCAGCCUUACGAGGGUCAACACGUGGAGACCGUAAGCACGUAACCCUUGUUGUCCUCAGGGGCUCUCAUCGGCAGUUUAGUCGUUUUGCUUGAAACGUGAGAAAAAGGUGUUUACCUCGUCCGGUAGAGCGGUGUUGGUGUCCACGACGUGACUGGCAUUCUUUUUGUAAUCUGCGAUUGUUAGAAGCCCUUGACACAUGUGCCUUCAUCCAAAGUUUUCACAUUCUAUGAUCAGAUUUCGUUGUUGGCAAUUACCUUUCUUUUAUGUCAACGUGGAUUUGAUUCGGGUGAAUGUAUUAUUGUUAUCCUGGCAAUCUUUCAUAGAUAGGUGAGGUCACAGUUAAACCUUUACUUAGUGUUUUGCCAGAGGUUAUAAUGACCUACAUAGAAGUAUCUGACCUGACGUUGAACAAAGACACAUUUCCCUCCGUACCACAGGACGGCGCUGUAGAGCUUUGAUCAACAUAACUGUGCUCUUUUCAUCCGGAGAGAACCUAAGCGUCACCAAAGAUUUGUUUAACUAACCCUCGUUGUUCUAGCUCUGGCGUCACGUGACAAAGCUGCAAAAUCAAAACAAUUCUCUCUAUUUAUCUGUAUAAACAAUGUAACCAGCUCCUGAAUUCAUUUACUAAUUGAUUUAGUUUCAGGUGACGUAAGUUAAAUAAUCAAUAGGUCCAUCUCUCUUCCAAUAACAUUGGCGAAAGCAGAACUGCACACGUGUUAAUGAAUAAACAAACAAGUGAGCUUGCUAGCUAAUUCAUUGACAGAUGUUCUGAUAAUGCCAUUAACCAACAAAAGAAAAGAUGCUCUGAUGUUCUGCUCUUUGACUUUACAUCUAAUGCAGCAACUGCCAUAAUAUUACUGGAGCAAUAGUAGUAUAGCAAUCAUAUCAGUAGUAUAGCAGUGUAAUAACUGCUGUUAUGCAGGUGCCCUUUCUGUUCAUUAGUUUUUCUGUAAUGUGGAAACUCUGUGUUUGUGGCUACUAGCUAUAUGUCAUUAUACUAUUGUGACUGUGUUGUGUUGUUGCUGUGUCAGGUGCAGGGGACCAAUGACAGCAGUGUCUGCUGUAGCUCAGGGUUACUUCCUGGAUGACUACCUGAAGCAGUUUGUAUUUAAGGAGUUUAGGAGAGCCCCUCUCAUCAACAGGUCGCUAAGAUAGAAACAUAACAUGUGCACACACACACACUCAAUAGAUUUGUAGAGUUAGAAUGACCUUCCUCUAUGUAUUUGUUUGUGUUUCUACUGUAUCUCUGGUGCAGGGGUUACUAUGGGGUUACUAUGUACGCUGGAGAGCUGUAGACCACUGGGUCAAACCGUUUCUGUGGCUGACAGAAGACAGGUGUUGUAGAGUUGAGAUCCUGGAACCAGUUGAUGAAUUUGAGGUGAGUUACUCUAAUCUAAUCGGUCCUGACUAGCCUGUCCAACGACCAUGCUGAUGUACUUCAGUCUCAACUCAUCAGAGAGAAGCACAGCAUUGGAAACUGUCAUUUAAAAAAAAGAAGGUAUCUGGACCAUAUUUUCCAUGUCUCUUUUUGUGUAGAAAUGCUCUCCCCAUUGCCUCCAUAGUCUCCCUGACCAGCCAUGCUCUGCUGUGGGUACACACCAUGCUGUGGUUACAAUGUACAGUACCUAGCUAUGUAAUGCCCAUGUUUUUGUCUUGUACAGCAUUUAUUUUCUCCGCUGCUGUUUGACGUACUUUAUCAUCCCCCUGAGGUGUGAAAUGUAUCUAUUUAAUGCAUAUAUUUUAGUGCCGCCUACUGUUAACUUCAGCCAUUUAUUCUUCCAUUCUAUCUUUUCAUUUUUAUUCAACACUAAUGCCAGUAUCAUCACAGAGAAUGUGGGAUGUCUGACAUGUCCUCCCCUGUGACGAUCCCCAUAGUGUCCCCUCCCCCAAGGUCAGAGCUGAGCCCUCUCUCCCUGGUGGUGAAGCCCAUGCAUGGGGAGCUGUUUGUGGAGGGUCUGAGGAUGGCCUCUACCCUUACUGGGUCCUGGGCUGGUGCUGCUCAGUGGGGGUUCGGGUAGAGGGCCUAUAGCUCGGAUCCUCAUCAGAGCCAAUGGUGGUUGAUGAUGUGUUUGUGUGGAGUCAUCUAUGGACUGGGGUCAGAGGGCUGAAUGGAUCUGACUGGGGUCAGAGGGCUGAAUGGAUCUGACUGGGGUCAGAGGGCUGAAUGGAUCUGACUGGGGUCAGAGGGCUGAAUGGAUCUGACUGGGGUCAGAGGGCUGAAUGGAUCUGACUGGGGUCAGAGGGCUGAAUGGAUCUGACUGGGGUCAGAGGGCUGAAUGGAUCUGACUGGGGUCAGAGGGCUGAAUGGAUCUGACUGGGGUCAGAGGGCUGAAUGGAUCUGACUGGGGUCAGAGGGCUGAAUGGAUCUGACUGGGGUCAGAGGGCUGAAUGGAUCUGACUGGGGUCAGAGGGCUGAAUGAAUCUGACUGGGGUCAGAGGGCUGAAUGGAUCUGACUGGGGUCAGAGGGCUGAAUGGAUCUGACUAGGGUCAGAGGGCUGAAUGGAUCUGACUGGGGUCAGAGGGCUGACUGGAUCUGACUGGAGUGCUAUUAGAGGUCAGAGUUUUACAUCACUUCGAUAAACUCUUGGCUCUAGGUAUAGGCUAAACGGCUCAGAGUUGUUCCUGAUCAGGUUCUGUUCUCCCAGGUGUCCAACUGUAUCACACUGUACCAUCUGUCCCUCGGUGGGGAGCUGUGGCGUUUGGUGGCCGCUCCUCUCUACUCCACCCAAUCAGAACCCUUUUCAGAGGGCGCUAUGACCCUUGUGACCUGCCUGACCCAGUUGUACCUGACAACCAGGCCUCAUUGAGGCUCCCCUUGAAGGAGAUGAGCUGCGCUGGCAACCUGCCUCAACCAAGACGGAGGCAGGAAGGUCAGAACUUCCUGUUUGUGUUUGAAGGGCAGAACGAGGCUGAGGAUGCACUGUAUCUUGAUGACCAGCGUUGGACCGAGGUCUGUUUGUUUACUCUGCUGUUCAUUAUAGUACCUUCCUGCAUUACCUCGCCGUGGGGAACACAGCCUGCCUACCACAGGAUGUUGGUGGCACCUUCAUUGGGGAGGAUAGGUUUGGGGUAAUGGCAGGAGCGGAAUAGGUGGACUGGUAUCAAAUAAAUCACAAACAUGGUUUGAUGCCAUUCCAUCUGCUCCGUUCCAGCCACUAUUCAAAUCAAAUGUUAUUGGUCACAUCACAUGGUUAGCAGAUGUUAACGCAAGUGUAGUGAAAUGCUUGUGUGUCUAGGUCC